UACAGAGGUCCCGAGCGUUGUUCGGAUUCAUUGGGCGUAAAGGGUGCGUAGGCGGUCUUCUAAGUUUGAUGUGAAAUCCCGGGGCUCAACCCUGGAAUUGCAUUGAAUACUGGAGGACUAGAGUACCGGAGAGGAAACUGGAAUUUACGGUGUAGCAGUGAAAUGCGUAGAGAUCGUAAGGAAGACCAGUGGCGAAGGCGAGUUUCUGGACGGUAACUGACGCGUG
rnacentral:rRNA from 1 species